ensembl:lncRNA
CUGCAAAGAGCUAAUGAAGAGCCUAAUUACUCUCCUCAGCUGUGACUGAGAAGCUGAUUAGAAGAAGCUGCUGUAGCUCUGGCUGCUUUAGCCAAAAGGGGGCAGGGGCAGAGGUUGCCCAAGGAACCACUAGAUGGAAAAUGGAAGAGUCAAGUUUGCUGCUGCUCCUUUUCCUCAUCAGGCACUUCCAACCUGUUCUCAUGCUAUGAUCAAUAUUUUCUGCUAUUUUCCGUCUAUCCAGCUAUAUGUGAAAAUAUGGAGCAAGGGGUUAUUGAGCCAAAUUUUAUCAUCUGGCAGGGAAGUAUGCUCAGGGAGCAGCGAGCUGUUGACAAUGCAGAGAGGCCCUGAGAAAGGCCUUAACAGUACAAACCAAGCAUUAGGAAGGGACCGUAAUUUUCCCUGGCUGAGAGAAGAUUCAUUCUAUUUAACUGCCAAUCCAUGUGGUGUGCUUCAAAGGAAAAAUGGAUUAUGGAAAAGUUGGCCACAGAUUAUUGGCACGUAUCUCUAAAAUGGGAAUAUGUCAGAUGAGAAGUUCUUCGGAGAGAUGUGAUGGCUGAUGUCAAAUCCUGCUCACCCAUUUUCCAUGACCUUGCCGAUGGAUGAGUACACAGGGGAGAGAGAGCUUAGGAACCUCAGGAAAGUUCAAGGCCAAAGAUGACAUAAGAUACGGAAGACCAAGAAGAUGGAGGAUAGGAUAGCUUGAGUAGCCCUAUAAUCCCAACCUUGAGGUGGUUGCCAGCAGCUUGCAGGUUCUGAAUGUUUAUGAAAAGCUUAAAAGUAGUAGCUGGCCAAAGAGUCACAGAAUCACAGAGCUUGGAAGAGAGACCUCAAGAAGUCAUCAAGUCUAACCCCUCUGCUAAAGCAGGUACCCUACUGUAGGUCUCAAAGGUAGGCAUCCUACUCCUGUGUGAUCACUUAGGUGUGUGUGGCCCUCCAUCCCCCUAGAUGCUUGAGAGAAGAGGUUUCAAGUACCUCCUCCAUUUUCUCAGCUUUGACCUGAAGCAGAGGAUAAAGGAUUAUUGUUGUCGUUCAAAGCCAUCUGGAAAAGCUUUUUGUGGCAGUGCCGUACCAUUUCAAUGACCGUGAAACAGUGGGAGUAUGAGAACUUUACUGUGUCACUACAUUUAUAUGCCCUGCCUUAGCUGCUCUCUGUUACUUAACACUGUUCUUUCAAUGUUAGUUCAAAAUGGAUUUGCUGGUUUGCUGAGGUCACUGUUUUCCCUUACUGCUCUGAAGGCCACAAAGGUAAAAUGCUUCCCAUUCAUUGUUUUGCCGUUUUCGAUCUUUUAUUUCAAUUGUGUUCGUGCUUCAAUAAGGUUCUUGUCUUUACUCGUGAAAGCAAACGAAGUAAUAAAAAUGUUUUGUAACAGCUGUAAUAAGGUACAACAUAAUACGUAUAUAUAUAUAUAUAUAUAUAUAUCCUACAACAAGUAUUUCAGAAGCAUGUUCUCUUCUUAAUUUUACCGUGGAAUCAGGAAAAAAGUGUCCUGCCAGUAACACAUUAAAGGUUGUGAUCAGAUUGCCACAAUUUUACUCCCAGAUUUUCUUUCAUCUUGCAACAGCAAAUGAGAACUUGUGGUAUGUUUAUAGAUGUAACACGCUCAGGUUGUAAGCUCUCUUCAUUUUGAGAUCUGUAUCUGAGCUGUAACAGAAAUUUUUGUCACACUAGUGUCUCAAAGACUAAAUCAUGGAGUUGCUUGCAAUUCUGUAAUGUAUUAGACAAUCUGAUCCCAAUUAGAUUACUAACUGCAGUACAAACCACAGACAUCAGUUCCUAGCUAGCACGCCCACAUUAUUUCUAGAUGGUGUAUUCUAUUUAUCUUCAUUUUCAGCGAUUUCACUGCAGCUUUAUAAUUAAACCUGUCUCUGACAUCGCAGGGAAAGGAAAAGUGCUCUGUAGUCAUGGCCAGUUGGACAUCCUUAUGUGUUAGGAAGAUGUUGCAGUGAUAGCUGUUCCACAUCGUUUCUGCAUUUUGUUAUAACAUACAGUGUUCUAGAGUUCAAGCUACAGAGUACUUGGCACAACUGAGUGAAUUGCCUUGAUUGAUACCAUUUCAUAUGUCAUGGCUUAUUAGUGAUUUUUAAUUUAAGGAUUAUUGGGCUGAUUACACUCAACAGUUAUUUCUGUGAAUUCAACAAAGCUUUUGAAAUUUAACUCCUUUAGGUUCUUUAUUUGUAUGUCAUGGCCUUAUUCUUCAAAUACAGUUUGAAAAAUAAAUAAAAGACCAUAUGUAGAUAACACAGCAGUUGUGCAGUGCAUGUAGAUCCCUGUAUAGGAGCCUUACAAAUUUGAAUGCUCAGGAAUGAAGGUGCUCAAAAGGCCUAUUGCAUGUAAAGUUUAGUGGGCAUGGUGGUGGUGAAUUAAUGGUUGUAGUAGAUGAUCUUAGAGGUCUUUUCCAGUCUUUAUGGUUCUCUGAUUCUAAAUUCACUCAACAAUUAGGAAGCAUCAGGAUUAAAAUUCCUGCAUAAAAAUAUGCAUUUACGGGGAUUUUUUGAAAGGUAUCAGAACUCACUGUGAACUCUUGGAAAAAACAGCCAAGCACUGCUCUGCAUUUUGCAUAUCUUUAUAAUUUUGAAAGUAAUAGUCCAAGGUAUUUUAGUGGGAGUUAGCCUUUGGUGAUUUUCUACCAGUAUUGAGCACAAUAGAUACACCAAAAUCAUUCUGCAGUACUAUACAACUUGUCAGAAUUGUGGAUUUUGUUUAGAAGUUUAGGGGAUUUUCUGCAGAACCUAAACCUGAAAAAAAAAGAUAUAGGAGUGUCUCAAAGCACAUAAAUUUUAAGUUCUUCACAGAAGUGAGGCACGAGUGAAAAAUUACCAGACGUAUAAAGUUCUUUAGAAGAGAAGAAACAGGUGCUCUUUGCUUUUGAAUGACUAAUCUAAAUCCAAAAGUAUUAUUUUUUUUUCAGGCUAAGCAUGAGUUUCUUUCAUUUUUCAGUCCUGAGCCAAGUCUUUACUCUUUGAAGAUGUCAUUAAAACCACCUCAAGGUCUCUCUGCCUCAAACUGUGUGAUUUUCAGCAAUUGCUUAAAGGAUUGACAACAGUGGAGAUAACUCCAGCUGAAGUGCUCCAACAGCAGGAGUCUAGAGGAACGU